GGGUUUUUCAUUGCUUUCCUGUGGAAGUACUACCUGCCAGGGUCAUUUUUGUGUUAUUUCUCAGCUCGGAGGCUCCUGUACAGUAUAAUGCAGGGCAGUUGAGGCAUAAGACUACUGCAUCAAAGAAGAUGAAGUCUGAAGACUGCAGUUUCUCCACACCCUACAUGUCAAAGUGCCUUGUACCACUUGACAUAUCAAGUCUGCAGCCCGGGUCCGACAGAGCAUGGCUUCUUUGUCACAGCAGCUUUUCCAUAUCUUAGAAGGCCUGGAGGAGCAGAGUGGUGACCACCUUCUUGAUGUCUGAAAUCUCUCACCUCCACUCACCACCAGGCUGGUUCUCAAGCCACACAUGAGGAUAACAUUCAUUCUUGCCUUAGUUCUGUCUUUAGAGGGGAUUCUUGUGCCCACCUUGUUCUGUUCUCAGUAAUUAGUCCUUCCUUCUAUGCCUAAGACUUCCAUAAGCAAUACAAAGUUUUUAAUAAGAAAAAAACAAGAAAGGGAAAAGGAAAGGAUAAAAACAGUAAUCUCCUGGAAGAAAAAUUAAUAUGGUUAAUAAAUAAAAAAUAAAUAAAUGGAUGGAUAAAUAGACGAUAAGUGAUGUGUAUCACCACUGAUAAGGUAUAUAUAAAUUAAACAUCAUUUGUCACUGAUUUGUUAAAUGUUAAAAAGAUUGACAAUAAACCAGCCUUUAAAUUAAUGCAUAAUUUAUGAUAUUUG
rnacentral:lncRNA from 10 species